rnacentral:rRNA from 1 species
AGUGAACGCUGGCGGUAGGCCUAACACAUGCAAGUCGAACGGCAGCACAGUAAGAGCUUGCUCUUACGGGUGGCGAGUGGCGGACGGGUGAGGAAUACAUCGGAAUCUACUUUUUCGUGGGGGAUAACGUAGGGAAACUUACGCUAAUACCGCAUACGACCUACGGGUGAAAGCAGGGGAUCUUCGGACCUUGCGCGAUUGAAUGAGCCGAUGUCGGAUUAGCUAGUUGGCGGGGUAAAGGCCCACCAAGGCGACGAUCCGUAGCUGGUCUGAGAGGAUGAUCAGCCACACUGGAACUGAGACACGGUCCAGACUCCUACGGGAGGCAGCAGUGGGGAAUAUUGGACAAUGGGCGCAAGCCUGAUCCAGCCAUACCGCGUGGGUGAAGAAGGCCUUCGGGUUGUAAAGCCCUUUUGUUGGGAAAGAAAAGCAGCAGGUUAAUACCCAGCUGUUCUGACGGUACCCAAAGAAUAAGCACCGGCUAACCUCGUG